rnacentral:lncRNA from 1 species
GGUGGGCGGGGGUGGAGGCUCCCUUACACUUCCUGUGUUCCCUUCCCCCUCCACCCUCUAAUGCUCCAGAGGCCCCCACAAUGUGUCACAUCCACCCUUAGGCACACACACCUAAUAGGCAAGCACACUUCACACUCUCCAUGGGAGGCUGGAAGUGGAGGAGUCGGAGGAGGGAGGAGUCGUCCAGGGAAGACCUGGAACCUCCAAGCUUCCAAGCUAAGUGAUUAAAAGUAGAGCUUUGAGGACUUUUAUUCUCCUAGGACUGUAAAAGUCCAGCCUAGGGGCUCUGGAUAGCCCCAGCUCCUGGUCUCCCCUGCCAUUUUGCCUUUGACCUACCGUGGUACCAAAGUUUGGAAGUUCCCCAGUCUUGAAGGAGCCAAUAGCUGGAAGCACAAACUUUCCUAAAGGGAACACGCACCCCCCCCACACACACACCAUUCCACACACACACACCAUCCCACACCACUCUCCUUUCCAGGCCCCCAUUUGUCAGAGGUGGCUGCAGAGGGGUGAGCUGUGGAUUUAUGACUGGGGACUUGAAAGACAAAGUUGCCUUUUGUGUUGGAAUUGGGGCCAGAGUAGGGGGAUUGGUGAGCUGGUGGCUGAGCCGGGAGGUGGGAGAGAGAGCCUGGAGUUCAGGGGCCCAAGAAGGGGUCAGGAGCUUGAGGAGGCAUACUGAAGGAUACACAGGCUUCUCGGUAGGGUCACCUGGCAAAAGCUGGGCAGCAAAGCCCCGCAGGCUUCUAAACCACCAGGGUCUUAGCUGCUUUAGAUCCAACUACUCUCCUUCUAUUUCAGCAUCCACAACCCUUCCCACCUCCUAGUGCACUCUUUGGAUUCAGAACUCCAGUUUCACCCACAGUGAAGCACACACAGCUACUGAGUUGUGCUUUUUACCCCUGGGUGACCACAGCUGCUUAAUGCCUGUUGCUCCUUAAUAGAGCCAAAGUGACGGACAAAGGGGGAUAUGGAUGGCGGCGUCAUGGGAGUAUUGGGAGUGUUGAGUCUGGCCUGGAGAGCUGGCUUAGAAGGCCUGUACUUCCCACACCCAUGGAUAAAGGGCAGCUUGGGUAAUAUACCAGCCGCCCCAGGACGCUUUCCAUCUCUGCCCUCCUUCCCCUAGUCUUUUGGAAUGUGGCGUUUACUGAGGUGCCCACGGGAUUAGAGAACAUGGGAGGUGGAACACAACUGGCUCCUCACCCUCCAGAGUCCAAAUCCCACUAGACCUUACCGCUGCUUCUGUUGAGUGGGUCUGGAAGGAGGCCAGCGUCGCCAUGGGGCCUAGUUCAGCAGGUGUUUUAACUACACCUCAGAGAGCCACAUCCAAGGGCCAGAAUGAGCCUGGCCAAUAAAGGCAUGAGUUUAUGGGCUUCGUAAACAUUUUACUAGAGAAAUCAAGGCCUCACUUACCCAGCGGCCUCUUCCAACUGACAGCUUGUCUCUAUGAAACUUCCAAGCCUAAGUCAGAUAGAAGACCACACUCUGGUUAACACCUUGCUGUCCCUCACCUCCAAUGACCCCCUCCCCAGUCACCAUUUUCUUGCAAAUUCUCUCCUGGCCUAUCUCCAGAGGACUUGAGGUGCCUGCUUUGCCUUGUCCUCUCUUGGAAAAGAUGCUCGACUUAAAAUAAUAAUAAUAAUAAUAAAGGUGGCCAGUAAUUGGGAGGAGACACUUGUCUUCAGCCUCUGGCUUCCACACACACUUGCACACACCCACACUGACAAGUUCACACCGGACACCACAAUGUACCCAUACCAAAUGGAAUUAAUUAAUUAAAAAACAUUUCUUACAGAUUAACAUAACAGAGCCAACUCUGGUGGUACAGGCCUGUAACAGCAGCACUCAGGAGGUGAGGCAGGAGAUUCAGGAAUUCAAGCUGAUCUUUGGCUCUGUAGACUGUUUGAGGCCAGCCUACAUUAUGUGAGAAUCUAUCUCAAACAAAACAGCAAAAAUUCACAUAAGAUAAAAUUUUAACAUUUUACGUAUAAGUGAUAUAAAAAUACAUUUGCAUUAUUGUUCAAACAUCACCAUUUGCCUCCAGAUUACUAUUAUUAUUAUUAAUUAUUGUUAUUUUGAGACAGGGUCUUAUAGGGGGAGACACCUACUGAACCAUCACCAUCAUGCCUCGUUUAUUGUGAGAGUUUUUGUUUGGUUUGGUUUGAUUGAUUGGUUGGUUGGUUUUGGUUUUUUUGAGACAGGGUUUCUCUGUGUAGACCUGGCUGGCCUUGAACUCACUCUGUAGACCAGGCUGUCCUCAAACUCAUAGAGAUCCACUUGUCUCUGUCUCCCAAGUGCUGGGAUUAAAGGCAUGUGACUACUGACCAGACCCCAAUUAUUGUUUCGUUUUGUUUUUCUGAGAUGGGAGGCCUUACAUAUUAUUUAAACGUUUUUAAUAAGAACUUAUUUUAUUUUAAUUAUGUGUAUGUGAUGGGGGGGUAUGUGCGUGUGUGAGUGCAGAUGCCCACAGAACCCAGAAAAAGACAUCAGAUACCCUAGAGCAGUCAUGAGCUGCCCUAGGUGAGCACUGGAAAUCACACUCAGGUCUUCUACAAGAGUGAUGUAUACUAUUUAUUAACCGCUGAGCCAUCUUAGCUGCCCUGGGCUGGACUUUAACUCAUAGGCCCAAAAGGCUUCACUGUUUGACCACAGGCACCCUUCACCCUCCCCACUUUUUUUCUCUUCCUGUUUUUCUAAUACUACCCUCUUUUUUCCCUAGACAGGGGCACACACAUAGCUGGGUUGGCCUUGAACUUGAGAGUUGAGAAUAACUUUGAGCUCCUGAUCUUCCUGCCUCUUUAUCCCAAGUGACAAGUGAUGUGAACUACCACACUCAUUUUAAUGAGUGUGUGUUGUUGUCUCAUUUAUAAUUUUUGGCUUGCCACAUUUUAAAGAUUUAUUUAUUUAUUAUAUGUAAGUACACUGUAGCUGUCUUCAGACACUCCAGAAGAGGGCGUCAGAUCUCGUUACAGAUGGUUGUGAGCCACCAUGUGGUUGCUGGGAUUUGAACUCUGAACCUUCGGAAGAACAGUCGGGUGAUCUUACCCACUGAGCCAUCUCACCAGCCUGGCUUACCACAUUUGAAUGAUUAGUAUCUUUUACUUUUUUAGAGCCUAAAUUUUCAAAAUCUACCAGACGAUGGUGGUACAUGCCUUUAAUCCCAGCACUUAGGAGGUAGACUGUGGUGGUUUGAAUAUGCUUGACCCAGGAGUGGCACUAUUAGGAGGUGUAGCCUUGUUGGAGUAGGUGUGGUCUUGUUGGAGGAAGUGUCUAACCAUAAGGAUGGGCAAUGAGUCCCUCCUCCUAACCAUGUGGGAGUCAGUCUUCUAGGAGCCUUAGAUGAAGGUGUAGAACUCUCAGCUCCUCCUAUACCAUGCCUGCCUGGAUGCUGCCAUGCUCCUGCCUUGAUGAUAAUGAACUGAACAACUGUAAGCAAGCCCCAAUUGAAUAUUGUCCUUAUAAGAGUUGCCUUAGUCAUGGUGUUUGUUCAUGGCAGCAAAACCCUAAUUAAGACACAGAAGCAAGUGAGUCUCUGUAAAUUCCAGGCUGGCCUGGUCUACAGAUAGAAUUUCAGGACAGCGGAGACCACACAGAGAAACCCUGUCUCACAAAACC